CCUACGGGAGGCAGCAGUGAGGAAUAUUGGUCAAUGGCCGGAAGGCUGAACCAGCCAUGCCGCGUGAAGGUCAGUGCCCUAUGGGCGUUAAACUUCUUUUGUGCGGGAGCAAUAAUGGUCACGUGUGGCCAGACGAGAGUACCGUACGAAUAAGCAUCGGCUAACUCCGUGCCAGCAGCCGCGGUAAUACGGGGGAUGCAAGCGUUAUCCGGAUUUAUUGGGUUUAAAGGGUGCGUAGGCUGGGAGGUAAGUCAGCGGUGAAAUGCCCCAGGUCAACGGGGUGAAGUGCCAUUGAUACUGCCUGGCUGGAAUGCGGAUGCGGUAGGAGGAAUGUGUGGUGUAGCGGUGAAAUGCAUAGAUAUCACACAGAACACCGAUUGCGAAGGCAUCUCACGAAUCCGCGAUUGACGCUGAUGCACGAAAGCGUGGGUAUCAAACAGGAUUAGAUACCCGUGUAGUC
rnacentral:rRNA from 1 species